rnacentral:ncRNA from 1 species
CCUUAUCAAUCGGGCGACGGUUCCCCGCAAGGGGAUUGAAUGGGAAUGCGGUAAGGGGUCAUCGGACCCCAAAUCCGCGGCUGCCCCCGCAACUGUAGUCGGUGAGCUGAAGGCCAAGAAACCACUGGGAAACCGGGAAGGUGGCCUGACGCUGAGACCCGAGAGCCAGGAGACCUGCCGUCGAGAAUGCUGUUAU